UACAGAGACCUCAAGCGUUAUCCGGAAUCAUUGGGCGUAAAGCGUACCGAUAGGUGGUUUUACAAGUCAGAAGUGAAAUCUCUCAGCUUAACUGGGAGACUGUCUUUUGAAACUGUAAAACUAGAGGGGCAAAGAGGAAGCUGGAACGAACGGUGUAGUAGUGAAAUGCGUUGAUAUCGUUCGGAACACCGAAUAGCGUAGGCAGGCUUCUGGGUGCCACCUGACACU
rnacentral:rRNA from 1 species